CCUACGGGCGGCAGCAGUGAGGAAUAUUGGUCAAUGGCCGAGAGGCUGAACCAGCCAAGUCGCGUGAGGGAAGACGGCCCUACGGGUUGUAAACCUCUUUUGUCGGGGAGCAAAGCGAGUCACGUGUGACUCAUUGAGAGUACCCGAAGAAAAAGCAUCGGCUAACUCCGUGCCAGCAGCCGCGGUAAUACGGAGGAUGCGAGCGUUAUCCGGAUUUAUUGGGUUUAAAGGGUGCGCAGACGGAGGUGCAAGUCAGCGGUCAAAUUUCGGGGCUCAACCCCGUACUGCCGUUGAAACUGGAUCCCGUGAGUACGGGAGAGGUAUGCGGAAUGCGCAGUGUAGCGGUGAAAUGCUUAGAUAUUGCGCAGAACUCCGAUUGCGAAGGCAGCAUACCGGCGGCGAUCUGACGCUGAGGCACGAAAGCGUGGGUAUCGAACAGGAUUAGAUACCCCGGUAGUC
rnacentral:rRNA from 1 species